UACGUAGGGCGCAAGCGUUGUCCGGAAUUAUUGGGCGUAAAGAGCUCGUAGGCGGUUUGUCGCGUCUGCUGUGAAAACUCGAGGCUCAACCUCGGGCUUGCAGUGGGUACGGGCAGACUAGAGUGCGGUAGGGGUGACUGGAAUUCCUGGUGUAGCGGUGGAAUGCGCAGAUAUCAGGAAGAACACCAAUGGCGAAGGCAGCUCUCUGGGACGGUA
rnacentral:rRNA from 1 species